ACUCUAUUUCCAUGUACUCUACACUAGUGCUUCCUACUUGAAUGAGCCAAGCAUGAUAAUGAAUCCAAAUUAUAUUUAUUAUAAUAUAAAUAUCUCGGGAAACUCGACUCUUGGUUUUCUCUAAAUAAUAGUUGUAGAUUGUAUAUUCAGUAUUGAGAAGAGGAAAAGAUGGUGAGCAACAGAUCCUAUCCUCUCAAUGAUUCCCGCUCCAUCCAAAUCAACCAGAGUGGUGUUCCUCCGGAGCCCUCUAAGUACAUGAGGAAUCACAUUUCCACCGCCAAGUAUUCCCUCUUUUCCUUUCUGCCCAAGUUUCUCUUUGAGCAAUUCCGUCGCUAUGCCAACAUAUUUUUCCUCAUGAUUGGAAUCAUGCAGCAAAUUCCGAAUGUGAGUCCCACGGGGCGCUACGUGACCAUCGUUCCUCUCCUCAUCAUUCUCACAGUUACGGCCCUCAAAGAAAUCCUUGAGGAUUUCAAGCGGCACCGUGAAGAUGAUAAGCUCAACAAUAGUCCCAUCAGUGUCCUUGAUUUCCUGAGGAAGGAAUGGUAUGUGAAGCGCUGGAAAGACAUAGUUGUAGGGGAUGUGCUUCUCGUGGAGGACAAUCAUUUCUUUCCCGCGGAUCUCGUCUUACUUUCGUCCAGUGAGCCUCAAGGCAUGUGUUACAUUGAAACCUCCAAUUUAGACGGUGAAACAAAUCUCAAAAUACGUUCUCCACCCAUAGAAACCGCAGAUUUUAAUACGAGGGAACUCUUAUGCAAUGAAUUCCAUGGUGUCAUUGAAUGUGAAGCUCCUAAUCGAAAUUUAUAUGACUUUAAAGGCAAUAUCAAAAUACGUCCCUCGGAUCCAUUCGCACCCAUUUCUCCAUCUGCAAUCCUUCUUAGAGGUACGAAGCUCAUGAACACACCAUGGAUCUUUGGAGCAGCUGUUUAUACAGGGCACGAGUCCAAACUUCUCAAAAACUCGACUACCGCACCGCUUAAACGUUCCACAGUGGAUCGCAUAACCAAUUAUCAAAUCAUUUUUCUAUUCCUUAUUCUGGUCUUUAUUGCACUAUUCUCUUCUACUGCAAGUUCCUUUUUAACGAUUUCGGGUCAAGCCCUUCCCUAUUUAGGAGGCAGUGACGAACAUAACUUCUUUAUGAAUUUUAUGACCUUUAUCAUCCUCUACAAUAAUCUUAUUCCAAUAUCUCUUCAAGUCACAUUAGAGAUGGUUCGCUUUAUUCAAGCCUAUUUCAUUAAUUGGGAUAGAGAAAUGUUCUAUGAACCUUCUCAAACUCCUGCAAAGGCUCGUACUUCCAAUCUAAAUGAAGAAUUGGGCCAAAUUAAAUAUCUUUUUUCUGAUAAAACUGGAACUCUGACCAGGAAUGAAAUGAUCUUUAAAAGGCUAACAAUAGGUGGUAAAAAAUAUAAGACUGAUGAAAGCAAAGAAAGUGAUAUUGAUUCAGUUCUAAUACAUGAUUUAAAAAAUGGAGCUGAGAAUGCAGAGUAUAUACGGCAUUGUUUGAUACUAAUGGCUAUUUGUCAUACUGUUAUUCCUGAAAUGAAUGACGAACUUGGGCAAAUGGAAUAUCAUGCAUCAUCUCCAGAUGAAAAGGCUUUAGUAAGUGGCGCUGCACGAUUUGGAUUCAAGUUUAUAGCUCGAAAACCCGAAUCUGUUGUUAUCGAAACAGCCUAUGGAGAAAUAGAAGAAUAUAAGAUUCUUAAUUGUAUUGACUUUACUUCUACUCGCAAAAGAAUGACUGUAAUUGUUGAGAGUCCUGAUGGUUCUUUAACUCUAUAUAUCAAGGGAGCUGACAACGUUAUCAUUGAUCGACUUGGAAAAGACAAUGCAUCUCACAAGUACUUAGAAACGACAACUAGUCAUCUAGAUGUAUUUGCUCGAGAGGGUCUACGAACGCUUUGUAUUGGUAUGCGAAAGCUGGACAGAAAUGAAUACGAGUCUUGGACAGACACUUGGAAUGAAGCUGCAACUGCUCUAGAAGACAGAGAAGAAAAAAUUGACGAGGCUGCAGCCUUCGUGGAAAAGGAUUUGUUUCUUUUAGGAGCCACUGCAAUUGAAGACAAAUUACAGGAAGGGGUUCCAGAAACGAUUCAAAUGCUAUUGAAGGCCAAUAUCAAGGUUUGGGUCCUCACUGGUGAUAAGUUAGAAACCGCCAUCAAUAUUGGAUACUCUUGCAAACUCUUGCAUCAUGACAUGACUCUCAUGGUUAUUGAAACAAAAACGUUAGAUGAAACAAGAAUGGAUGUGACGAAAUUUUUGGCUGAUGUACGUAGAAGUGCUGUAGCAGGAAAUACUGGGAGACAUGCCCUUGUGGUUGAGGGUAAAUCACUUGGAUUUACUUUGGAAGAAUCUGUUCGUGGAGACUUUGUUGAAUUAUGUUGUGCCUGUAGAAGUGUUAUUUGUUGUCGUAUAUCUCCCAUACAAAAGGCAGAGAUGGUAGAAAUGAUCAGAAAGCAUACAAAGUCAAUUUGUCUAGCCAUUGGAGAUGGAGCCAACGAUGUUGCAAUGAUUCAAAAGGCAGAUGUUGGGGUAGGUAUAUCAGGAAAUGAGGGAAUGCAAGCUGCAAAUUCUUCAGAUUUCUCAAUUGGUCAGUUUAAGUACCUACAAAGACUCUUACUCGUUCAUGGAGCAUGGAAUUAUACGCGAAUUUCAAAAGUUAUAUUAUAUUCAUUUUACAAGAACAUUUGUCUUUAUAUUAUCGAGCUAUGGUUUGCUAUUGAUAGCUACUGGUCUGGCCAAGUUCUGUUUGAGAGAUGGACUAUAGGUUUAUAUAAUAUUCUCUUUACGAGUGCACCACCAAUUGCUAUGGGACUGUUUGAUCAAUAUUUUAGUGCAAGGACUAGACUCGCCCAUCCAGAAUUAUACAUUGAAACUCAACGAUCUGAAUUUUUUAAUCAUGUCGUUUUUUGGAAAUGGAUAUUCAACUCCAUUUUCCAUUCCAUUAUUAUUUAUUGGUAUCCUAUGAAGGCUUAUAGUUUGGGCACGAUUUGGAGAAAUGGUCGAACGGGUGACUAUUUGUCCAUUGGAAACAUGGUUUACUCUUUUGUCGUUAUUACCGUUUGUCUUAAAGCUGGCCUGGAAAUGGAUUCCUGGAAUGUAUUUACUCAUAUUGCGAUAUGGGGAUCUAUUGUUAUAUGGUUUACAUUCCUUGUGCUUUAUAGUUUUGUGUGGCCUCUUGGCAUUCCUCUUGCAGCAAAUAUGGCUGGAAUGAUUGAAUUGAUUUUUACGAGUCGGAUAUUUUGGCUGUCCUUGAUCCUUGUUCCUUCUGUUGCCAUUCUUUUAGACUUUAUUAUCAAGGUGGCUCAGGGUACAACGGGAAAACUAGCCACCCGACAAACUAAAUUGGCUAAAGAGGACAAGGAGCGAGCAAAUGAGAGCUCUAGUCUUCUCGCUACACUUAAAAUAAGAGAUGUGAAAUCCACAAAUCCCUCUGAAAUCGAAAUGACCCACGGUUAUGCCUUUUCUCAGGAAGAAGAUGGAGAUGUGAGUCAAUCUGAGAUCAUACGACGCUAUGAUACCACUCAAGGAAAUAAUCAAAUUCCAGAUGGUCGGAGCAAAUGCGGAGUACUGGUUCAAUUCUAAAUACAAAUGAAAUGUACUACAAAUGCCUACUUGAUAUCAGUUGUGGAUGAUAUUCUCCUUGAUUGAUUGACUGGACACACACACAGAUACAUAAUAGUUAUCAUUAUUACUUCAUCCAGCUUUAAAGACUGAUCCAUCCAGCUUACAUUAUUUAUAAAAUCAACAUCUCAUAAAAUACUUCCUGGUUAUAUAAAUGUUUAGAUCUCAAUAAUGUCGUACGAGGACUGUUUGAUUUCACAAAUUCAAAACUCAAUGCAUUUAGUAAAUCCAUCUUUUGGUAAUAAACUAGUCCGUGUCGUUGGAUUAAUUGUCUCUCAACGGAGAAAUCGCUCAGAAAAAAAUAUAUCUUUUUAUAUUGAUGACGGAACUGGCGUCAUGUCUGUUUCCUACCAGCCCCAUGAAAUUUUACCCUCUUUGACUAAAACCAAGAGUCUAAAUUAUCCUAGUAAGUUCAAUGAUUUGUUGAGUUUUGCGCACAACCCCACUCAAAAUGGACAAUCAAUAGAAGCUAUUGGUCAUGUUGUUAAAUUUAAUGAUGAGCUUUUUUUAAGAGCUUUAAGAAUUCGUCUUGUCUCAAAGAAUGAAGAAAUAUUUAGAAGCAUUACUAUGUUUAAAGAGAUUUAAAGGUUUAUUAUAUUCACUAUUAUUUAUUUAUUCAUGCUUCAUUCUAUUUUUGUAAUAUUUAAUAUAUAUCUGCCUCAUCUUUGAUUUAUCCAGUAACUAUAGGAUUAUAUGUCAAAUAAAAGCACUUUACGCAAGCAUAAA
rnacentral:misc_RNA from 1 species